GACGAACGCUGGCGGCGUGCUUAACACAUGCCAGUCGAACGGAAAGGCCCUGCUUUUGUGGGGUGCUCGAGUGGCGAACGGGUGAGUAACACGUGAGUAACCUGCCCUUGACUUUGGGAUAACUUCAGGAAACUGGGGCUAAUACCGGAUAGGAGCUCCUGCUGCAUGGUGGGGGUUGGAAAGUUUCGGCGGUUGGGGAUGGACUCGCGGCUUAUCAGCUUGUUGGUGGGGUAGUGGCUUACCAAGGCUUUGACGGGUAGCCGGCCUGAGAGGGUGACCGGCCACAUUGGGACUGAGAUACGGCCCAGACUCCUACGGGAGGCAUCAGUGGGGAAUAUUGCACAAUGGGCGGAAGCCUGAUGCAGCAACGCCGCGUGCGGGAUGACGGCCUUCGGGUUGUAAACCGCUUUCGCCUGUGACGAAGCGUGAGUGACGGUAAUGGGUAAAGAAGCACCGGCUAACUACGUG
rnacentral:rRNA from 1 species